UGUGUCUGAUGGCUCAUGAGGGAAGGUAUGUGAUAUUCAAGGAUCGUGGUUUCCUACAGUAAAUGUGCAUCUUUCCAGACAGAGGUUCCCAGACUGUGUUGUAUAUACUGCUAGUGAAGCUGGAACAAUUUCAGACUGGCUCUGCUCAUGACGAUCCCUAAAUCAAUUAAAUUUAGGAAUCUUUCUUGAAAUUGAAUCAAUACAGCUUGCUGGUGGCAUCCAAGUGAGCAGGUCUAGCUCUGUCUAUACCAAGGCUGUCUGUCUUUGAAAACAUGGACACACAAGCAUUUACCAGCUGAUCAUCAGUAAUUGCCUACAUGGAGCAUUCAUUAUAUUCUUGAUUCAAUGUCCUUCAUAAAAUCAACCCAAGUUAACAGCAUUUACAAUGCCAUUCAAGCAAAAAUGAAACCUAAAAACAUAGAAAUGGGAGUCAAGUCAUACCAGAUACUAUGAGUCUUGUAGAACAAAUGAUAAGCCUGUAUCCUUUCUUUGGAAGAAAGAUGUGCAGCUGUAUUAAGAACAAAAAGGUAUGUAUGCUAAGGUGGAAAAGAAAAAGCAGAACCUAAGCACACGUUUACGCAAUUCUGAUCUUUGCUUAGUUCCUUCAAUAUUUAGAAAAGAAACUGCACGUACAGGCUGAUGACAGGAUCAAGUCAAUAUGAGUUUAAUCCUGAUUUCAGAUGAUACAUGUUUAAGACUCAAGACAAAAAAAAAUGGUGCUAUGGUAGCUCCUCACAAAAUCUUUAUAUAUAAGACAGCAAUGAAAAAAAUGUAUCUGCUGAGCGAUACUCUAAAGUAUCUUAAAAUUAACUUUUGAGCUAAGGAGGAAAACUGCAUUAUUUCUCAUAAUUGCAGAGUUGCAGACUGGUUGAGGUUGGAAGGGACCUCUGGAGACCAUCUGGUCCAACUCCACUGGUCAAACAGAGCCAUCUAGAGCUGCUUGCCCAGGAUGAUGUCCAGACAACUUUUGAAGAUCUCCACGGAGAGAGACUCAUAACUGCUCUGCACAACCUAUGCCAGUGUUUAUUCAACUUCACGAUAAAGAAGUGUUUCCUGGUGUUCAGAU